CCGGACCGACAGCGGAGGAGAAAAGAGGAGGAGGAAGAGGAGGAGGUGACGACCGGGAUCUGGUCACUACGCGCUGCCCUGCCUGGCGCUGCUACGAUAUUUUGUCCGAGAGCGCUUUGAAAAUUCCGCUGAGGGCAAGUCACACAGUCAGAAUGCUUGCGUGCGCGCGUGCGAGCGUGUAACUGCGCGCGUGUGUGUCAGUGUGUGCCUGAAUCGAUGAGAUACGUGCUUGAUUGGGUCUCCCUUGUUGUAAUAAUGUACAUGAGGAGGAGGAGGGGACGGGCUCAGGCUGCUCCCAUGCAUGCAGGCUGGAGCGCACAGGUUCCACCGAGCUCUAGCGCCUUCUGCCAAACACUUUAUUGGCCGCUGGUGGUAUUUUCCUCCCGUUUUUUCUUUACGUGGCCUGAUAGGAGCUAUUUAAAACAGCCAUGCAGCGAAUCAGACGUGUCUCCCAACACUGCGCUCGGCUCUCCUUCCUGCGCCUCAAGUGACCGGAGAGGCGCAAAAACCCUCACCAAGCGCUGUCCCUUUUAUUUGGCACUGGACGGAAUAAAGUUAUUUUUUCUUCACAGGCAAUCCUCAGGGAUGACUUCGCGGCGGUGAACACAAAGGAUAACGGAUUCUUGAAGAGGGAAUUGAAGAACGAGGGAGAGCAAUGAGGGCCGGUGCAGAGAUUUGCGACAUCACUCGUUAUCAUCCAGUGCAUUUUGACCUCAACCGGAACCAACGAUCUACCAGGACACAAAAUGACAACAGUGACAACAUUCAGAGCUCAGGCACUCAGUGAGGACCCGAGCUUCUCCAGGCAAAACAACCAAAAGGAAAUGUGUGAGGAGAAGAGAUCAAAUGAACUAUAAGAGGAAGAACAGCAGACACUGAGGAACACAAGGAAACAGAAAGCAUCAGCAGUAAUUAGAAAAAGGAACUUUUAUUUGCUUAGUUCUUAAUUACAUUGUUAUUUGUUUAUUUAAAAAUAUGUAACUGUUUCUGUGCUAAACUAUCUUAAAUCAUAACUCUUUUUAGUAAUUAAUACGUUGAUUAUUUGUAUGAAAACAAAGUAAGCAUUAAGCCUUAUCAGAGAGUUUGCGAUUCCAAACAGAAAAUGAAAAGGAGGUUCUAUCUGAACAAGCUCAUUUAAAAAUGUUGUUGGAGUGAUUACAUGUUUGCCUUUAGGGUGCCUGUUAUUAAAAGAGGGAUUGUUUGAAUACCCUUUCCACUAUCAAAUAUGUAAAAACUGAAAUUUGAAUUUGAAUCCAUCUCCAAAGCAAGACACAAGAUAGAUAGAGACGAUAUUUUAGAUGUGUGCGUUUGUGUGUGUAUGCAUGUGAGUGUGAGUGUUGUUUAUUCAAUCAUCCACACUUGCAGUAUUAGUUCUCUUUUAUUAUUUUCAGCCGCGCGUGCAGAGCUGCAUGCUGCUUGUGCAAAUGCUUAUUUAAGGUGCAUGCCUGUGUGUUUUUGUCACUAUGUAUGUACAUGGGUUGGUGUUUGCAGUAUAAUUUAAGCCUCUUCAUGCUGCAUUACUGACUUGUAUGUUAAGUCCUGCUUGCUGUGCGUAUUACAAAGCUGGACAUCAGGCCUGUCUGUCAACGAGGUGGGGAAUGUGUUAGCUUGUAAAGGCAGCAGAGAUAAAUAUGC